CACCUUUCAGGGCCAGAAACCACUGGCCAAUAUUUGUACUGCAGGAGUAAAACAUUUUGACGUAUGCCAGGGUCAGUGUUUCAGAGCAAUAGUGUCCCAAUUCUCGCUACAUUUGGAAUGAAAAGGGAAUCCAGACUGCUUCUUGGGAGCAGAAUUUUCUCUUAGAAGCCACUGGAAGGCAGGUGAUUGAGGAAAGAGACGUUGGCCUUUAAUUUCCAUGCCUCUAUUCACUCCCAUGCUGUUGACAAGUUCUGCAGUCGCCCUGGACCAGCGGGGGAGAGAAGGUCCCAUGACCGUUUCCCUGAAGGCAGCCUUUGGCCACUCUGUACUGGUGAUUAUUGGGCUGCAAGUUCACAGACUCCGCUUUGAGGAAAGAGGAUGUAAUUGUGCGAUACAUGUAUGCAUGCUCAUAAGCACCGAAAAGAGUUCCCCGAUAGGUUGAAGGUCUUAAGAGAAUCAUUUCGUGCUCAUGGGAAACAAUUGAAUUUCCCAAGGAGGCACCAAUGGAUACAUCUCCAGGUGGUGUGCAGCCCAGAGGCUAAACAUCUUCAAUGCAAAAAUCAUGAAAACGAUCUAAAAAAACUGCAUGAAGAACCAUUCCAGGACCCUACACUUGAAAGACCUUCUUGUUAGUCACCCUUUUCUGUUUCCUUCCUGCGUUCAGACACCUGCCAGUCUGCUUAGGAAGUGGCGGUAAUGCAUGGACCCAGUCAGUCUGAGUAUGACCAUGAAACUCUCUUUUGCAAGACAUCCCAAGAUUGUAUGGGUCACGAUCGGGUCCCUUCGGUGGAAUCCAAAUAGAAGCCAGAGAGCAAGACAAGCUCUUACUGUCAUAGAUACACACUGCCUCUUGGGGUUCCAAAGAAGGAGGCAGAAAAGGGACAGAGAAUCUGAAGGACAGAUGGAACAUUCCAGUGAUCCUGCCAAUCCAAGUCUGACCGUCAUGAGACCUUCCGGGCUUCUUCUUCAGAGUUGAUUCACACCUCGGUUUUUCAGCAUUUGACAUUCCUAGAUGCAUAUUAAUGUUUAUAUGCACGAGGCACUUUCUGGAAAGAUAAUCAAAUUCAUGACAGUGCGAAGGGACUGUAAGAAUGGAUGACAACCCGUGCUUUCAAGUAGAAGAUUAGAAAGAUAAAGUAUGUGACAUCCUCAGCAUAACAUUGGGCACUCAUCUAAAGUGAUGAAUGGAUGAAUUUACGAUUAUUCAUUAUGCUUCUAUUUUUUCUAUUCCUCAUGUCACCCAGCAUGUUGCAGAUACUCUCCAAUCACACAGCCCUCCAAAAGGAAAACUACAUCUCUUGGGCACUUUCUAUAGAUCAUUCCCUGUGUCCGAUUUCAUGCUUAUUUUGCUCAGAAUCCACUUAAAAUCUGACAUUGUUUCAAGUAUGAUGCUAUGCAAUAUUUAGAAAAAUAAAAAUCUGCACGCAUUCCUACGA